rnacentral:rRNA from 1 species
GAUGAACGCUGGCGGCGUGCCUAAUACAUGCAAGUCGAGCGAACAGACGAGGAGCUUGCUCCUCUGACGUUAGCGGCGGGCGGGUGAGUAACACGUGGAUAACCUACCUAUAAGACUGGGAUAACUUCGGGAAACCGGAGCUAAUACCGGAUAAUAUAUUGAACCGCAUGGUUCAAUAGUGAAAGACGGUUUUGCUGUCACUUAUAGAUGGAUCCGCGCCGCAUUAGCUAGUUGGUAAGGUAACGGCUUACCAAGGCAACGAUGCGUAGCCGACCUGAGAGGGUGAUCAGCCACACUGGAACUGAGACACGGUCCAGACUCCUACGGGAGGCAGCAGUAGGGAAUCUUCCGCAAAGGGCGAAAGCCUGACGGAGCAACGCCGCGUGAGUGAUGAAGGUCUUCGGAUCGUAAAACUCUGUUAUUAGGGAAGAACAAAUGUGUAAGUAACUAUGCACGUCUUGACGGUACCUAAUCAGAAAGCCACGGCUAACUACGUG